UGGGGAAUAUUGGGCAAUGGGCGAAAGCCUGACCCAGCGACGCCGCGUGGGGGAAGAAGUCUUUCGGGAUGUAAACCCUUGUUGUUCGGGACGAAAACAAUGACGGUACCGUACGAGGAAGCCCCGGCAAACUACGUG
rnacentral:rRNA from 1 species